GAGGCAGCGCCAUCUUCAGCUCCAGACAACCGGCCACCUUCCUGGCGAGAGCCACAGAGCUUCUGAGGCAGCGCCAUCUUCAGCUCCAGACAACCGGCCACCUUCCUGGCGAGAGCCACAGAGCUUCUGAGGCGGCGCCAUCUUCGGCUCCAGAAAACCGGCCACCUUCCUGGCGAGAGCCAGAGAGCUUCUGAGGCGGCGCCAUCUUCGGCUCCAGACAACCGGCCACCUUCCUG
rnacentral:lncRNA from 1 species